GUAGUCCACGCCGUAAACGAUGUCUACUAGCCGUUGGGUUGUAAUGACUUAGUGGCGCAGUUAACGCGAUAAGUAGACCGCCUGGGGAGUACGGCCGCAAGGUUAAAACUCAAAUGAAUUGACGGGGGCCCGCACAAGCGGUGGAGCAUGUGGUUUAAUUCGAAGCAACGCGAAGAACCUUACCUACUCUUGACAUCCACAGAAGAACGCAGAGAUGUGUUUGUGCCUUCGGGAACUGUGAGACAGGUGCUGCAUGGCUGUCGUCAGCUCGUGUUGUGAAAUGUUGGGUUAAGUCCC
rnacentral:rRNA from 1 species